GGACUACAAGGGUAUCUAAUCCUGUUUGCUCCCCACGCUUUCGCGCCUCAGCGUCAGUCAAGGACCAGGUCGCCGCCUUCGCCACCGGUGUUCUUCCCAAUAUCUACGAAUUUCACCUCUACACUGGGAAUUCCACGACCCUCUUCCCCACUCCAGCCCAGCCGUCUCGGAUGCAGCCCCCAGGUUGAGCCCAGGAAUUUCACACCCGACAAACCAAGCCGCCUACACGCCCUUUACGCCCAGUCAUUCCGAGCAACGCUAGCCCCCUUCGUAUUACCGCGGCUGCUGGCAC
rnacentral:rRNA from 1 species